rnacentral:lncRNA from 1 species
AAAGUAAAACAUUUACUUAAAUCCAAUGCUUCAUUCAUCUCAAAGCCUCUUUCUGUCUUGGGCUUAGGUCUGAUCAAUGGAGCAGGUAGGAAGGAGCCCCUUUCACGUUCUUCCUGGCUGCCCCCCUCCUCCUCCUCCACGGGACCCUCCAGCAUCAGAGCAGAAGGGAAGGCAGCCGAACAAUCGACGCUGUCAGCUUUUGGAUCACAGUCCAGAUUCCUAAACAGCAACAUGUAUGAGCUCAGGCUUCCCACGCAUGUCCUUGGAAGCAUCCGUGGCCUCGAAGGGAAUAACUCAUGGAGUAAAACAACAUCUGUUGACUCCUACCGUAUAUGCAUGAGGAAACUAGUCUCUGAGACACCCGGACAUCGCACCCAAAUACAGUCCCCUUGGUUUCAUUACUGUUCUCUGAAUUUGUGUUCUAACUUGUGGCAGUUAAUGUAUUAGGGUUGCAUUAAGUCCUUUCCAUACCAGAAUUAUAUUCUGUUAAGUAUCGCAAUUGUCACUGUGAUUUGGAUGUAAUUCAAGGUCCCCCCUAGGGUGAGGCAGGCCAGGUGCCCAAAACUUAAGGAGACAUUCUUUCUCAGGCUUGGGCAAGCACAGAACUGACCCAGGAGAGUGAGCAUCCCUUCAUUGUCACGUCCUGGGCACCUCUCACUUUUUUCUUAACCUAGUUCUGGCCACUGACUUUCCCUCUUCCCCCUUCUUCUUCUCCUCAAAAUAUUCCAAUGGAGAGUAUUUUGGAAAGUACUUGGGUAAUCCUCUGAAUUCCAGAACAGCAGAGAAUUUCUUUCUUAAUAUGCCACACUAUCAUUAUGGAGCCUAAAUACAUUAAAAUAUUAAGUUAGCCAGGAAAAGUUUUGUUUCACAAAAAUUUCCAAUCAGUAUUGACUUCCUGCGAGUCUCUUCUGGUAUCUAAUGCAAUAAGGAAGGCUGGUCAGCCAACUAAUUUUUGUAGGACAGGUGUAUGUAGGUAGGUGUGAUAGGGUUCUCUCUUUUCCCUGAAACUCGAUACUUUUCACCAAGAAGUCCAAGGUGUGAAUCACUUUCAAUUUGAUGUUGCCUUGAAUAUUAUGAGUAAUUUGCUUUUCGGCUAGUGGUCUUGGAAUUUCCUUCAAUUUUUUUUUUAAUUAAUGAUUCUUCUCUAUUUGUUAAGAAUCCCUCAUCUAUUUAUCUGUAUGCUAGAACCUUGUUACCAAUCUUCCAGUUUCUGCUGACUUCAUCCUUGAAUCUUUUACUUUGCUUUCUCCCUGGUGGAAGCACACCGACACAUAUCCCAAGCUCUUCUCCAACUUCCAUAAGUUCCAAAUUAUUUCUUAAAAUUGCCUGAAAAUAUGCUGACGUCCACAUUAUUCCUCUUCCCAUUUUUUAAAAAAAAGAAAGGCAUGCACACCUUUUUGUGAGCCAAUGUUUAGAGUAAAUACCUCCGGCUUGUCAACAAAGGGAUAAUUCCAAGUACCAGGUUGGGGAUUACCUGUUAAUGAUUAAUACAUUCACCUAGCUCUUGGUUUUCCUGCCUUUCCUGGCCUGUUGUGUGUGUUUUUAUUAUAGGUGAAGGUUGACCAGGGCUGGAACGUUCUGAAUUCAGAGCAACAAGGAAGGUUAGGGAACCAGUUCUUUGAAGUGAAGCUGGGAUAUUUUCCCAGUUUCAAGAUAUAUUUGAUAAAAUUCUCAGAUAAAAAAUUAUGUGGUUACUUCUAGAUUGGGUAUGAAUUUUACAAUAAUGUGGUUCAAACCUCUAUUAAAAUCAAAUCAUGUCAUGAAAUGUUUACUCUAAUUGUAAUCAUUUCUCCUCUUAUUUCAUCUUAUAAAAUGUUUAAUGUUUUCUUUUAUUUAUAAAACAACUCAUUUAUAUUUUUGAUGAAAAGUGUUAGAUGUCAAGUUAAAAAUGUUCAAGGAGGUAGCUAAAGUUUCCAAAAUUCUUUUAUGCGGUACACAAUCAAAAGAGUUUGAAGCCUGUUUCUCUCUAUAAAAGGUCUAUUUUUAAGCAGUAUCCAUUCUGAUGCUUACUAUUCCUGG